UGAGCGAUAAGGUCCAUUGUCGAAAGGGGAACAGCCCAGAUCACCAGUUAAGGUCCCUAAAUUUAUGCUAAGUGGAAAAGGAUGUGGCGUUGCACAGACAACUAGGAUGUUGGCUCAGAAGCAGCCACCAUUUAAAGAGUGCGUAAUAGCUCACUAGUCGAGUGGCACUGCGCCGAAAAUAUACCGGGGCUAAGCAUAAUACCGAAACUGUGGGUGCACCCGUCAGGGUGCGCGGUAGGAGAGCGUUCUAAGGGCGUUGAAGGUCGAUCGUGAGGACGGCUGGAGCGCUUAGAAGUGAGAAUGCCGGCAUGAGUAGCGAAAGAUCAGUGAGAAUCUGAUCCACCGUAUGACUAAGGUUUCCUGGGGAAGGCUCGUCCUCCCAGGGUUAGUCGGGAUCUAAGGCGAGGCCGCAAGGCGUAGUCGAUGACAAGCAGGUUGAGAUUCCUGCACUAGUUUAUUUUGUUUAAGCGAUGGAGGGACGCAGGAGGCUAAGGAAAGCGCACGGCUGGAAAAGUGCGUCCAAGCAGUAAGUCCGGUAGCGAGUGAAAUGCUUGCCGCCUUAAGGACAAGCUGUGAUGGGGAGCGAAAUUAAAGUAGCGAAGUUCCUGAUGUCACACUGCCAAGAAAAGCUUCUAGUGAGAAAUAAACUACCCGUACCGCAAACCGACACAGGUAGUCGAGGAGAGUAUCCUCAGGUGAGCGAGCGAACUCUCGUUAAGGAACUCGGCAAAAUGACCCCGUAACUUCGGAAGAAGGGGUGCUGACCGCAAGGUCAGCCGCAGUGAAUAGGCCCAAACAACUGUUUAUCAAAAACACAGGUCUCUGCUAAAUCGUAAGAUGAUGUAUAGGGGCUGACGCCUGCCCGGUGCUGGAAGGUUAAGAGGAUGAGUUAGCGCAAGCGAAGCCCAGAAUUGAAGCCCCAGUAAACGGCGGCCGUAACUAUAACGGUCCUAAGGUAGCGAAAUUCCUUGUCGGGUAAGUUCCGACCCGCACGAAAGGCGUAAUGAUUUGGGCACUGUCUCAACGAGAGACUCGGUGAAAUUAUAGUACCCGUGAAGAUGCGGGUUACCCGCGACAGGACGGAAAGACCCCAUGGAGCUUUACUGUAGCUUGAUAUUGAGUGUUGGUACCGCUUGUACAGGAUAGGUAGGAGCCGUAGAGAUCGGAACGCUAGUUUCGAUGGAGGCAUUGGUGGGAUACUACCCUAGCUGUAUGAACACUCUAACCCGCGCCACUGAUCGUGGCGGGAGACAGUGUCAGGUAGGCAGUUUGACUGGGGCGGUCGCCUCCUAAAAUGUAACGGAGGCGCCCAAAGGUUCCCUCAGAAUGGUUGGAAAUCAUUCGCAGAGUGUAAAGGUAGAAGGGAGCUUGACUGCGAGACUGACAAGUCGAGCAGGGACGAAAGUCGGGCUUAGUGAUCCGGUGGUUCCGUAUGGAAGGGCCAUCGCUCAACGGAUAAAAGCUACCCUGGGGAUAACAGGCUUAUCUCCCCCAAGAGUCCACAUCGACGGGGAGGUUUGGCACCUCGAUGUCGGCUCAUCGCAUCCUGGGGCUGUAGUCGGUCCCAAGGGUUGGGCUGUUCGCCCAUUAAAGCGGUACGCGAGCUGGGUUCAGAACGUCGUGAGACAGUUCGGUCCCUAUCCGUCGCGGGCGCAGGAAAUUUGAGAGGAGCUGUCCUUAGUACGAGAGGACCGGGAUGGACGUUCCGCUGGUGUACCAGUUGUGCCGC
rnacentral:rRNA from 1 species